AGUGCUGACAGCGACUCGGGCAGGGCCUCCGUGCGGAGGCUGGGAGGAGCGCCUGCUUUUUAGGAAAGGAUGCUUCAGGCUCAGCCUCCCGUCCAUGCUCCUCUCCGGUGUGAGUGCAGAGAAGGUCCUGGGUUCUGUCUGUGGCUUCACUUUGGGGGUCUUGGACCUGGACCCGAGAGAGCCCAAAACCACAGGAGCAGCAGAAGGGCUGGAGCGUCGCACAGCAACUGUGGGCCCGCGGUGGCUCUGGAGCCAGUUGGCGUGACUCUGCCAUUAGCUCUGUCCCCUUGAAAGUACAAAUACUGCCAUUGGCUGGGAGUUUCCUUGUUCAUUUUCCUGCACGGGGCACCUUCGAUCACAUCUGUUGUCUGCAUGAAUCAGGUCUUCCCUAUUUCUCAGAGGUACGUCAUUCGUUCUAGAGAGUUCUGUCUCCCAUAUGAAGUGCUUCCUACAGAAGGAAUGAAUGUACAGCUCUUCAUGUUGCCAAAGCACCAAGACACACUAAACCCACACAGCACAUUCCACAGGGCAUUUUGAGGGGCUGGAGGCCAUGGCACCAGAGCCCAGGGUGGCACCUGCACACUCCCAUGUGGGAAGUGGGCAUGACCAGAGGCAGAGGCCAGACUUGGCAGCACGUGCUGAGGCUGCAGAGCCCUGAGGAGGCUGCUAGGCCCUGACACUGGGUGGCCCAGACAAUCCAGCCUGACAAGGAGCUGCAUUCCACCCGUGUUGGAGAUGGUGCUGACAGAUUGCCACACAGAAGCUUCUGCAGCCUGGUGCCCACCAGGCCCAUGGAGGAAAAGGGUUCUGGAGUGAAAAGCCUCAUCUGGCCCUCAGGAGGCAUCUGUGUGAGGGCAGGGCCCUGUCUGCCCCGGGUGUCAGAAUCUAUGAAGGACCGGAGCUGGGCUUGGCCACUCCUGAGACAACAUCAAUGGAUCCUGCACACAGCAUUCCCAGGCCGGGCUGGAGAGACUUUGAUGGAGCCUGUACACAGCAUCCCUGGACUGGGCUGGAGAGACCUCCUGCCUGUUUGCACACACUCGAAGGGAUAUUGUGUGAAUUGUUUUCUGAACACACCAUUUUCCUUACAGAAACUCCUAUUCAUCCUUCAAUCCCAGCUCACAGUCACCUCCUCUGGGAAGCCCUCCAUCGCCGGUCAUUGUUGGGUGGCGUGCCUGUCUCCUCUUUGGACUGCAAGCUCCCCGGGGAUCCUUGUGGUGUCUUUUCAUUGCUUUCCUCCACUUCCCGCAUGGUUCUUGGCACACACGGGGUGCUUACUGAAUACAUGGUCAGUAAAUUUAAAGGAUGAGAUGUACUGA